rnacentral:tRNA from 1 species
UCCGUGAUAGUGUAGGGGUUAUCAUACUCGCCUCUCACGCGAGUGACCGGGGUUCGAUUCCCCGUCUCGGAA